rnacentral:rRNA from 1 species
AACGAACGCUGGCGGCAUGCUUAACACAUGCAAGUCGAACGAUACCUUCGGGUCCAGUGGCGCACGGGUGCGUAACGCGUGGGAAUCUGCCCUUUGCUACGGAAUAACUCAGAGAAGUUUGGGCUAAUACCGUAUAAUGUCGAAAGACCAAAGAUUUAUCGGCAAAGGAUGAGCCCGCGUAGGAUUAGCUAGUUGGUGAGGUAAAGGCGCACCAAGGCGACGAUCCUUAGCUGGUAUGAGAGGAUGAUCAGCCACACUGGGACUGAGAAGCGGCCCAGACUCCUACGGGAGGCAGCAGUGGGGAAUAUUGGACAAUGGGCGAAAGCCUGAUCCAGCAAUGCCGCGUGAGUGAUGAAGGCCUUAGGGUUGUAAAGCUCUUUUACCAGGGAUGAUAAUGACAGUACCUGGAGAAUAAGCUCCGGCUAACUCCGUGCCAGCCGCCGCAGUAAUAC